UGCCUACCCUACCCAAACUCUUAUCUUUAGUUGGAUUUAGAUCACCCACUGACUUUAUGAAUACUUCUGUGUUAUUUUUUUGGCAACGAUAUAGAAAGUUGUUUCCUGCUCAUCCUACCCUCCUCUUAGACACCUUACCUGUUACUCUUGUCAUCUCAUAAACGAACAAGAACGCUAAUAAUACUGUAUGAGUAAUCAUGCUACAACAGUGCUAAUAGAUGCCAACUAUUAUUUCACCUGCGUCACCUAGUAACCUCUAGACAAUUAAGAACUUAAUUAGAAAUGAAGAAAAUUAAAAUAAUGAAGAACCUUGUGGCGCCUUGUUUAAGGCACUUACUGCAUUUAUUGCAGAAGUGUGUUUUCUCCAGAACCUCAUCCAAUUCUGAGUGAGGUUUAAUCAAUCUUAAAGGGAUUCAUAAAGCAAAGAUGUUUCCUACGUAAAGGGAAAAGUUUAAAGAUUAAUAAUUACAUCGUGCACAGCGGAGGGAGAGGAGCAGCCAACAGAAUUGGGUGUUAUGGGGAAUACUCGGCCCAGCCUAACACGUCUCCUCCCCAGAGAGGUUGCCCGUUGCAUCUCUGUGCGAUUCCUUCUUCAGGUGUUCCUCGUGCAGGAACUCAUGCAGAGAGACCAGUGGUGGGUUUUAUUCUCUCUCUCACCUGCGUCACGGUUUAUUUGGCAUGCCGAUUUUUAUUUCAUAACUCAGGAUCAAGGUGCAGCUCUAUAUCCAUAGGAGAGACACCUGCAAAUCGAUGUAAACACAACAGGGAACCUCUUGUAGGCCUAGUGCAGCCCAGAAGGAGUUUUUUUUUUUUUUCUUUUGCGGGGGGUAGAAGGCUUCAUGUUUUGCUAUAACAAAAACAGGAUGGGGAAAUUUUAAGCAUCCAGGGCUGCUGUGGGCAGGGCAACGUUUCAAAGAGGGGGAUUCUUUAAGUUUUCUUUUUUGAGUUU